AUCGUUCAUCUCUUUCAGUAUUUUUUAUCAAAUUUUUUCAUAAAAUUACAGAGAGACGGAAGUAAGGAGUUACUCCUGAAGGAACGCGCC
rnacentral:ncRNA from 1 species